AAACCAACAGGGAUUGCCUCAGUAGCGGCGAGUGAAGCGGCAAGAGCUCAGAUUUGAAAUCGUGCUUUGCGGCACGAGUUGUAGAUUGCAGGUUGGAGUCUGUGUGGAAGGCGGUGUCCAAGUCCCUUGGAACAGGGCGCCCAGGAGGGUGAGAGCCCCGUGGGAUGCCGGCGGAAGCAGUGAGGCCCUUCUGACGAGUCGAGUUGUUUGGGAAUGCAGCUCCAAGCGGGUGGUAAAUUCCAUCUAAGGCUAAAUACUGGCGAGAGACCGAUAGCGAACAAGUACUGUGAAGGAAAGAUGAAAAGCACUUUGAAAAGAGAGUGAAACAGCACGUGAAAUUGUUGAAAGGGAAGGGUAUUGCGCCCGACAUGGGGAUUGCGCACCGCUGCCUCUCGUGGGCGGCGCUCUGGGCUUUCCCUGGGCCAGCAUCGGUUCUUGCUGCAGGGAGAAGGGGGUUUCCGACGGUACGGUCGUCUUCGGUCGGUAGUCGUAUAGGCCCAGGGGUCCCG
rnacentral:rRNA from 1 species